rnacentral:tRNA from 1 species
UCCUUGGAAGUCUAGUGGUUAGGACUCAGCGCUUUCACUGCUGUGACCCAGGUUCAAUUGAUAGUCAAGGAA